AUGAACUUAAACUUAAGGUGGCGGCAGGGUCUGUAGAUUGGAAGAGGCCCUGUUGAGCUGAACGCCAUCUGUAUUUAUAUGAAUGAGAGGAACAGAUUCCGUCUGGUCCAAUUCAGCCACCGUUUACUGGCGCUGGCUGUGAGCUCUGCUUCUCUACUGAUAUUAGGCUCUGCUCUGACCUCCUUCCUAUCUAACAAUUCUCCUAUUUUUUCCAUCAGUGUGACGCGCUAGAUAUCCUUAGGAGAUAGUCCUCCUGCCUCCUGGAAUGAAUGGGCUUUGUUUUGACGUGGGCCCCAUACUAAGAAUCUGUGAGUCUAUGCUGUCCUGUCCCCAUCUCGGCUGCCUCCAGCAGACAGGCAGGAGUGUAAGUCCUGGACUUCGUUUUGGAAUUGGAAGAGUUCUUACAGAACAUCUGAGCCUGAAUUUGUGCUCCAGGAUACUGGCUUUCGAGGGGGCCUGAUGAACUUGACCCUUCUUGCUGGGUGGAGCUGUGAACCCAUUUUUAGCAGAUGAGGCAAAGGAGUCAGGCAGGUGUAGAUUAAAAUACAGUUUUUAUUACUUUACCAGUAAUAAAUCAGCUUUACCUUCUGAUACUGGAGAAUGUGGCUUUGAGCAGCUUAGGCAAAUGGGCUUUGUGAUACUGAAUUCCAAAAUGAGGUUCACGCACCCACCAGAGUCACAGGAGCACAGAAAUUGCAGACUUGGCCACAUCGUCCUUGAGGACGUGAUCGCACAGGGAACAGAGGAGGACACAGGCUUUGUGCGGGCAGCCAGCUCCCUAAAUAAAGGCAGAGAGAGGAAGGAGUGGAGUCAUCAAGUAUCAGGUUCUCUCCUCCACUUACCACUCAAGUAAGUUGCUCCUUGUCAGGGGAGAAGUAAGGCUGAGGGAGAGAAAGAGCAGGAUUUAUGGGAAGGGACACUAUCCUUUCCAAGGCUUAUGAAGGUGGAAAGUGUAAAUGGAAGCACAAGCAAUUGCGUGGCAGGGCAGUUUUUUGUUUCUUAUUUUUAAUAAAUUUACUUGUUUAUAUUUUA